AGGCGAGGGCACCUCUGGGCAAGCAUGGUCUUUGGUGUGCUGCCAAGCUGACUGUCCUGAGUGUGACAAAGCAAGGGAGGGGCCCAGUGGGCCCCAGUCAAUGAGAAACAGAUCUGCCCUAAAAAUAACAGUGAAUGAACAGGCUUGCUUACACUGUCUUGCUUCAGAACUGGUUUGGCACAAAAUCAGACCUAAUGAUAGGUUCAGAAGGAAAAAUUCAUGGUUGGGAUUUGGAAUCCUCUGAGCCAACCAGUUAUCCACAAACAAGUCCACGGCUCUUCCGCUGGGUUUCCCAGAAGGUCUUCCAGGACAGGUCUCUUGUCAUCAUGGAGGACUCCACAGUCCUAUCUGGAGUCGCCUACUCCGGAGUGGAGAGAUGGAGAAGACUAAUCUUCACAAAAUCAACCAACAGCAGCAGUGAUGGCUGAUGACAGCAUGAAGAAGAAUCCUUCCUGUUGGAGCCAUUGAUCAUCUAUUCCCAUGACUAAUUGUGUGAUCCUGUUAAUGUAACAAAAUACCUGAAGCUGGGUACUUUAUAAGAAAAGAGGUAGGUUUAGUUCAUGAUUUUGUAAGCUGCAUUGUGCCCACUCUAACAAGAGUCCCUCUG
rnacentral:lncRNA from 1 species